rnacentral:pre_miRNA from 1 species
CCUUCUUUGACUCCGAGGGGAUGCAGCAGCAAUUCAUGUUUUGAAGUACUGUAAAUGGUUCAAAACGUGAGGCGCUGCUAUAUCCCUUCGAGGGGAA